CCUACGGGAGGCAGCAGUAGGGAAUCUUCCACAAUGGGCGAAAGCCUGAUGGAGCAACGCCGCGUGGGUGAAGAAGGUCUUCGGAUCGUAAAACCCUGUUGUUAGAGAAGAAAGUGCGUGAGAGUAACUGUUCACGUUUCGACGGUAUCUAACCAGAAAGCCACGGCUAACUACGUGCCAGCAGCCGCGGUAAUACGUAGGUGGCAAGCGUUAUCCGGAUUUAUUGGGCGUAAAGGGAACGCAGGCGGUCUUUUAAGUCUGAUGUGAAAGGCAUCGGCUUAACCGGAGUAGUGCAUGGGAAACUGGGAGACUUGAGUGCAGAAGAGGAGAGUGGAACUCCAGGUGUAGCGGUGAAAUGCGUAGAUAUAUGGAAGAACACCAGUGGCGAAAGCGGCUCUCUGGUCUGUAACUGACGCUGAGGUUCGAAAGCGUGGGUAGCAAACAGGAUUAGAUACCCCUGUAGUC
rnacentral:rRNA from 1 species